CUUUCUCUCCAGAGUCCAACUUCAGCCAGGCGCAGCCAUCAGGACGAGCAGCUGUUGCUUAAGCAGAAGCAGGGUGGGGGAGCACAGUAUCACACCUUCUCAUCUUUUUAUGUGCAGCAAGAAUUGGUAUCUUGUAGGUGUCUGAAGAGGAAGCAGAUGAGAGCAGAGCAGGAAUGCAUGAGAACUGACCUGGAGGAAAGGAGCCAAAUGGAAGGAGUCAGAAGUUACAAAAGGUGAACAUGUCAAGGGCAAGAUCAGCAAAAGUUUUGGAAGUGAAAAGCUGAAUCCACCAAAGGAAGACUUUUUGUCCCAGCUACUUUUAUACAAUAGAU